CUUGCAAGAUUAAUCAUGAAAAUCUUAUUUAGAAGAGCCCCUUUAUCUGGAAUAUGUUUGCCCCAGUAUCUUCAUGGCUUGCUCGCUACCAGAAUGAUUUUAGGCAUUUUCCCUAUGUCUGGGGUCCACCAGUUUUAAAUCUACAGCCCCUCACUAAAUUCUGCACCUUUCCUUUUACAUAAAAUUAUGUAGGUAUAACCCAGGCUGCAACUUCACCCUUCACCAGCAGAAACUCCUCUCUAGUGAAUGAUGUACUCCAGAAUGAAAAUUCCUCAAGUGAAAUGCAUGAGAUUAGGUAUACUUGAGGGCAAAUAACAAGGAACAUAUAAGCUGGUCUCAGGAGACAUUUUGGAUCACCUGGUAAAGACUUCACCUCAGCAGAUUACAACCGUCUUCUGAAGUCUUGGAGAUAGUCCCCAAGGAACUUGUCAGGACCACAGCAAGGUGGUGUCCUUAGAGUGAGUUAGGAGGAGGCUUGCAAUUUUACUGCCAGCCUG